GCCACUACCUAAAGGUCUGCUGUGACCAACACUGAUUUAAUACAUAUUUCUAGGAUCCUGUUGCAAAUAGCUAUAUUAAAAUACCAUGCAAUAGUAUCAAACAGGAUAAAGAUACCUGGAAGGAGGGUGAAAUAGAGAUGAAACAGCUGUGAUAAAAAUUACCUUUAUCUUGAGUGAUCUGUAGAAUUAAGGAAGGUACAGGAGAUGGUUAUCUGGGAUGAGGGAGAAUAAUUUGUGUUGUUUGCGUAGUUACAGGGCUGUAAGACAAAGGUUAAAUGAGAGAGCUUAUUAAUGCUUUGUUUAACCCUUUUCAGACCCUUCUCCACUCCUAACCAUUACUGUCCAAGGAAAUCUGAAACUCCUUCUGGCAUCCAAGUUCCUUCACCAUCUGGCUUUUGCAUCUGUGUUUUAAACAGAUUUCCUUCUACUCCACUCAGAAGGAUGCUUGGCUAGCCCAGGGGCACGGCGCUGGUGCCACCUCUGGGCAGGGCCCGGGGAGGUCAGAGCUUCCUUGUUUAGGGGCCAGGUGCUUCCUGGGUAAAGAAACUUCUGUUGGAGGUAAGCACAGUUCUUUGCAAUUCUGUAGAUCAUAGAACUAUAUAAUUCUAUAAACCGAGACUGA
rnacentral:lncRNA from 1 species